rnacentral:tmRNA from 1 species
GGGGAUGUAAUGGUUUCGACAUUUCAUCUGAAGCAUGAAUAGCGAGUAGUGGAUUCUCGUUGGCCACUUAAAAAACGAGAAAUUAAAAAUAAACGCUGAUAAUACAGAAUUAGCAUUUGCUGCUUAGUUUGCGGCAACGCUUAUUAGAGUAUCCCCACAUAUUCUAAUUUGGUGUCAUUUAGUGGGAAACAAAGCUGUUUUUUCUGCGAAAACAGUGGGUAUUUAGCAGAUAUGUUUAGUUUUCGUUUGUUGAUUGUCGUUUAUUAAAUGAAUUUUUACAAUUAACUGCACUCGGAGAAGUUCAUGUGAAUUUUGUUAUGGACAGGGGUUCGACUCCCCUCAUCUCCACCA